CCUAACCACCUCUUAUUAAGCCCCACCUUCCAACACUGUCACAUUGGGGAUUUAGUUUACAGCACAUGAACUUUGGGGGACACACUUAAACCAUAGUGCCGUCUUCAGUCUGAGAAGAAUUUCUGUCUUUCAUUGAAGUUCCAAAGGCUUCUUAUUUUGAUGACUUUGCCUAAAGAAGGGAUUCUACAGCCAAAUGCUUUCUUUUUAAUAUACCGAAUGAGUAAAAGUGCAAAAUAAGUACAGAACUAUCAAACAGCAACAAAUGUGCUUCUGCUGCCUACCACAGAAUUUUCCUUGGUGAGAAGAAAACCCUACAUUACAUUUCUCUUUGGCUUCUGUCUCUGCAGCUCAGAGUUGAUGACGAAUGCAGUCCUGCUCCACUUUGAUUCCAUCUGGCUCUGGAAGGUGUUUCUGAAGAUUUGUGAACA
rnacentral:lncRNA from 1 species